UGGGGAAUUUUGGACAAUGGGCGAAAGCCUGAUCCAGCAAUGCCGCGUGUGUGAAGAAGGCCUUCGGGUUGUAAAGCACUUUUGUCCGGAAAGAAAUCCUUGGCUCUAAUACAGUCGGGGGAUGACGGUACCGGAAGAAUAAGCACCGGCUAACUACGUGCCAGCAGCCGCGGUAAUACGUAGGGUGCAAGCGUUAAUCGGAAUUACUGGGCGUAAAGCGUGCGCAGGCGGUUUGCUAAGACCGAUGUGAAAUCCCCGGGCUCAACCUGGGAACUGCAUUGGUGACUGGCAGGCUAGAGUAUGGCAGAGGGGGUAGAAUUCCACGUGUAGCAGUGAAAUGCGUAGAGAUGUGGAGGAAUACCGAUGGCGAAGGCAGCCCCCUGGGCCAAUACUGACGCUCAUGCACGAAAGCGUGGGGAGCAAACAGGAUUAGAUACCCUGGUAGUCCACGCCCUAAACGAUGUCAACUAGUUGCCGGGUCUUCAUUGACUUGGUAACGUAGCUAACGCGUGAAGUUGACCGCCUGGGGAGUACGGUCGCAAGAUUAAAACUUAAAUGAAUUGACGGGGUCAUAGCUGUUUCCU
rnacentral:rRNA from 1 species